UAGUUCAGCACUAAGUCACUUUGCCUUUAUGGUAAAUGUGAGAUGCAGUGUAUGGAAUGUCAAAUUUCUAAUAUGAGAAAUUAACGCUUUAAGUCCUUCUUAAAUGAGGCCAUUUACCCAUAGAGGGUGCCAGGCCCGUAUAACGUUAAUGAUUAUUAGAUGGCAUUUCCAAAGAGUCGUGUUGCUUGAUAGUGCAGCACUAAGAGGGUGGUAAACUCCAUCUAAAACUAAAUAUAACCAUGAGACCGAUAGUAAACAAGUACCGUGAGGGAAAGUUGAAAAGAACUCUGAAUAGAGAGUUAAAUAGUACGUGAAACUGCUUAGAGGUUAAGCCCGAUGAACCUGAAUAUCCGCUAUAGAAAAUUCAUCAUUAAGAUUAUAGUAUUAGAAAUAUUAUAAAAAUGAUGUGCAUUUUUUCUAUAUGGACAUUGUAAUCUAUUAACAUAUAAAAAUAUUUAUUAAAAGAUCAUUAUGCGAAAGUUUAUUCAGAUUAUUUUGCUUUGCAAUUUAACAUAGAAUAAAUGCUUUUGAUUUAAUAAAGUGUUGAUAGAUUUAUAAUAUAUAGUGCUUAAAUAUAUAUAUAUAUUUUAUAAUAGCAUAUUAAUUAAUAAUUUUUAUGUUUAUUAUAUGCACUUGUAUGAUUAACAAUGCGAAAGAUUCAGGAUACCUUCGGGACCCGUCUUGAAACACGGACCAAGGAGUCUAACAUAUUUGCAAGUUAUUGGGAAUAAAAACCUAAUAGCGAAAUUAACAUAACUUUAAAAAAAUAAUAAUGGGAUUAGUUUUUAUACUAAUUAUAGUAUAUUAAUUCAAUCCCGGGGCGUUCUAUACAGUUAUGUAUAAUAAUAUUUAUAUUAUUUAUACCUCUAACUAGAACGUACCUUCAGCAUAUAUGCUGUGACCCGAAAGAUGGUGAACUAUACUUGAUCAGGUUGAAGUCAGGGGAAACCCUGAUGGAAGACCGAAACAGUUCUGACGUGCAAAUCGAUUGUCAGAAUUGAGUAUAGGGGCGAAAGACCAAUCGA
rnacentral:rRNA from 1 species